CGUAGGUCCCGAGCGUUGUCCGGAUUAUUGGGCGUAAAGCGAGCGCAGGCGGUUAGAUAAGUCUGAAGUUAAAGGCUGUGGCUUAACCAUAGUACGCUUUGGAAACUGUUUAACUUGAGUGCAAGAGGGGAGAGUGGAAUUCCAUGUGUAGCGGUGAAAUGCGUAGAUAUAUGGAGGAACACCGGUGGCGAAAGCGGCUCUCUGGCUUGUAACUGACGCUGAGGCUCGAAAGCGUGGGGAGCAAACAGGAUU
rnacentral:rRNA from 1 species